UAUAUUUACUGAUCGCCAACGAAAACAGAAGCAAAAGCAACAAUAUUACCAGCAGCAGAAACAGCUAAAGCCAAAGCAAUGCCAAAAUAUAAUUUAAAAUCUUAAAAAGGAAAAAGCGAAAUGAGGAAGGCAAUAAUCGCUGAGCACAGUACGGCGCCACGAGCGCACAGAGGCGCCGAUUCCAAGGGAUUUAAAGGGGAGAGGUGCACGGUGCACGUUGCUGGAGUGACAGCCGAUUGCGGGACGCACAGCACAGGGCGCAAACUGAAUGAAAGGCGUUCUACAAAACGACCGCAGUACUCAUUCGGAAAAAUUGUACAAUUUAAAUGCAUUUAUUUAUUGUGCACCGCAAACAGAAGCUGGCUGAGUUUAAACAUGUGGUCGCACCUCAAUUGAAACUCAUUACGGAAAACACCAGUGAAGACCCCACGUGCGCAAUAAUGGAUGAAUAUAACGUAUGGCAAGCACCUAGGCAUUAGUUGAAUCGGAAAAUCUAUUAUCUUGCGGGUAAAUCCCCCCAAUCGAAGCAAUUAUCAAAAAUUCAGCAACAUGUAAAAUUGUACGUAGAAAGAAAAAUGAAAAUUAAAUUUUGA